ACGGAGGAUGCAAGCGUUAUCCGGAAUCAUUGGGUUUAAAGGGUGCGCAGGCGGAAUGAUAAGUCAGGGGUGAAAUCUCCCGGCUCAACCGGGAAACUGCCAUUGAUACUGUCGGUCUUGAGUACAGUUGAAGUGGGUAGAAUGUGUCGUGUAGCGGUGAAAUGCUUAGAUAUGACACGGAACACCGAUAGCGAAGGCAGCUCACUAAGAUAUUACUGACGCUCAUGCACGAAAGCGUGGGGAGCAAACAG
rnacentral:rRNA from 1 species